rnacentral:rRNA from 1 species
GACGAACGCUGGCGGCGUGCUUAACACAUGCAAGUCGAACGGAAAGGCCCUGCCUUUGUGGGGUGCUCGAGUGGCGAACUGGUGAGUAACACGUGAGUAACCUGUCCUUGACUUUGGGAUAACUUCAUGAAACUUGGUCUAAUACCGCAUAGGAGCUCCUGCUGCAUGGUGGGGGUUGGAUAGUUUCGGUGGUUGGUGAUGGACUGGCGUCUUAUCAGAUUGUUGGUGGGGUAGUGGAUUAGCAAGGCCUUGACGGGUAGCCGUGCUGAGAGGGUGACCGGACAAGUUGGGAUGGGAAUGCGACACAGACUAGAACGGGAGGGGAGGCAGCGGUAUGGUGUACUAUGGGAGGAAGGAUGACGUAGCCAAGCAGCGCGGGGGAAGAGGGGAAUCGGGUAGUGUUCCAAUUUCGCCUGUGACGAGGCGUGAGUGACGGUAAUGGGUAAAGAAGCACCGGCUAACUACGUG